CAGCUUUCUUUCCAAGGCCAGUAUUUCGUCCCUCGUGCUCUUGGGGUGGCGACGUUUUGGUGACGCAGCGUCCAUCUUGAUGGCUGAGUCCCGGGCGCCCCGUAAAUGUCGUGAGUGUGGUGAGAGCCUCGGUCACCCCAUCUUGGCCCUGGCCCUGCCGCGGAAGCACCCCGACGUGCCGGGUCCCCUCCUGAGCCCCGUGGGACGGUCCUCCCCUGAGGCCCAGAAACAGGGGCCGCUUGCCUCAGCUCACCCCAAAAAUGGCCAUCGACGCGGGUCGCCCCAGUGUCUGUCUGUCCCGCCCGGCCACCCCCCUCAGGGUCAGAUCGUCCCCACACGCUCAAGCUGUUGUCCCGCUGGACAAGCGUUCAGUGACGCUCCGGGAACGGGGCCUCCCUGCGUCCCUGGCAUCGCCCGGAAGGGGACACGGGACGUCAAGGGACACGACUUUGGCGUCUGAAGGAAAAAGCCCCAGUCUUGCUGGUUCACACGGGGAAACCAAGGCCCCGAGAGCCAUGCUGGGGUGGCAAGUGAGAGGCUGCCCUUGGCCGUGGCUUCUGCCGACUGCCCUGACUCGGUCCACCUCCUUCCGGAAAGAGCACAGGCCUUCAGGGGCCAGCAGGCGUGAGUCCCGACAUGGGGCCCUGUGCCUCAGUUUCCCCAUCCAUCCACUGGGGGCUGGAGUGAGAACAGAGCGCUUUCUCAGUCUUACUUCCAGCGCUUGGGGUCGCCUGCGUUCCCCCCACCCCCCCCACCGCACCCUCAGAGGCAGGCCACCUCUCCCUGGCUGGGGACUCGGGGCACAUGCCCUCCGACCUCUGACCCUCCCUUUGCACCCUGUAAAGUGGGCUCAUAAGGGGACCCGGCUCGCAGGGUUGUCAUCAGCGUGAAAGGAGUUAACAUGGGCAGCGCAGGGAACAGCAUGGGAACAGCGUGGGCGCUCCUGAAGUGGCUGGGGCCGGGCAGCUCCCCCCCGGGGGACCUCCGUGGCCCUACUUCCCGCCCCCACGCCUCCCAUGAGAAUCAUAUGAAAACCCUG
rnacentral:lncRNA from 1 species